ACGUCAUGAAUUGGUAAUUUUUUUAUAAUUUAUAUCUAAUAUUUUUAUAUAUUAAUGAAUUAUGUGAAUAUAAAUGCAACAAGGAAGGAGUGAAGUCGAAGCUUGGUCAGAAACUUUACAAAUGACAUAUAAGGAAAGCAAUAAAGUUGUAAGUCUUUUUUUAAAAUUAUUUAUAUUUUAUAAUUCUAUUAUCAUUGUUUGAUUUUGUUAUUCUUUCAGCUUGAAGCCACGGAAUUUAUCAAAAGUCAAGAGGCAAAAUCGUGGGCUGAAUCUGAAAUAAUGACUCCAUUUGUAAGUUCCAUUGAUUAUUUUAAAUAUAUUUCGCAUUUCUUAUUUUUUUUUUUUUAUAAUGCAGCAAUUUAUCGAAGCGACGGUCAACAAGACUUUCGGAAAAAAUAAGAAGAAUAGAAUAAUAGGAAUUGGAGAAGCUGCCAGUAUAGUGAGCACAACGAACGAAAGAUGGACUUCUCCAAAUUGGAAAGGAAAAGAG
rnacentral:lncRNA from 1 species